UUGUCAGGGUUCUAGGCUGGAGCAUGGAUAUCCUUAGGUCAGUUUUUUUCUGACUUUUAUAUGUUGAGGGCGAGCUAAAGCUCAAGUUUCUUCCCAGCAUCAGCACUUUGUUUUUCUUUAAAGGUCCUUGGCUAUGACCGAGGUUUUCGUGAGAGGUCACUUUUGGCCAACCUCAAUCGACUUCUUUCUUAGUCUCUUUUUGUUAAGAAUCUAUACGAGGCUAAGAAAAACAAUAA
rnacentral:lncRNA from 1 species